GCCAGUCUGAUUGAUCCUGCCUUGAUCAAUCAAAAUCCCGCUACGUAAGACACAUGUACGUACGGACCAUGGGACAUUAGUCAUGGUACAACACUUGAACGACAUCAGCCAGCAAAAUGCAUAGCCUGCAUAACACGGGGCAUUGAUUAGUGCUGGCAGAAGAAUUAGUCUUUCCUGUUAGUUGAACAAAAUUGCACAAAUUUUUACAUGUUUGUUUUGUCAAAAACCACAUCAGCAGCACCGAUAGCAGCAAAUGGUGAAUGACGUGUACAAGAUGCAUGUGGUGAGCGGCCCGGCCUGACGUCUUCCAGCGACCGUGUUGACCAGGCAGUGCCCCCUACCGAAGCGCUCCUCUCCUGAUGGCGUCUGUCAUCCACACAUGAGGAGGAGUCAAAUGUCCGGCGAGUCGGAAUCAAAAUUGUAAAGUCCUUGAUAUGUCCGCAACAAACUCCUCACCUUUCCUUAUUAUAUUAGCUAGAGAAUCAGACUUUUUAUGCACCUCUCUAGACCUCGUCAAACACGGAUGGGGGACAUGCCGGUCAUCGGGCUCAAGGACUGCUAGAGUGGCCACAACUUCAUGGCCAUCUACAAGUUUCACAAGGAUGCAGCCAUUUGGGGAACCAGAUAACAAGAAUGAAUAGAGCAGGCUGCCAACCUCCUCCAAGGAAGAUGACUAUGUUGCAUGACCUCAAGCAAUUGUUAGUUUAGAUUGGUAACAAUAAUUGGAAAUCCUAUAGAUUGUUUUUGUUUUGCAAUUAGCAGUACUGAAGAUUGUUCUAGCCACAAGAACAGUGGAAGGUUACAGGUUCUUGGGAAAUGUAGUUCUUUUUUUCAGCCUGUUAGAAGUUCAUGUGUAGAACUAAUGAAGUCAAUAAUCGAAUUAUGUGCCAGUACAUUUUUA